UGGACCUUUCAGACUUGGGUCUGCACCCAGGUUCUGCUCAUUCCCAAGUAGAUGUGUAACCUGGCUUAUUCUCAGAGGGCACAGACUCCACAGCCAUGCGUGUGUCACGGAUACUGAAGGAUGUGGUUUUCUGGAGGACUGCUCACAUCUAGGGAGUUUACUUCAUAGGAUCACCACUGUCUGUUUUAG
rnacentral:lncRNA from 1 species